AGCGGAAUUGUGUAACGGUUAGCACGACAGACUCUGACUCUGUUUGUUGGGGUUCGAAUCCCUAUUCCGCUGCCA
rnacentral:tRNA from 2 species